UGAAUGCGACGAUAUGUUUGACAAGUUGAAUUUGGGGAUUUUUAUACUAGAGAGCAUACUGAGGUGUCAUCACAAUAAGACGUCAUUCGACGUCUUUCAUUUUGAAGUUGUUGAUGACAUUGACACAUUCAACAACUAUCUAUGGAGACAAAGCUCACAGUUAUCAGCUCUCCUCAAUGAUCAUGAGGUACGUAUUAUUCAUUUGUGAUUUAAAUUGUAUGUCAUUUCGAAAUCUCGAUGCAUGCAUGGUCAUUAACUCGGUGAAAUGUUAAUAUGUCAGCUUGAAUUGCUCGCUGA
rnacentral:lncRNA from 1 species